CCAUGGCCCACACUCCUCUCCUCCUCCUCGCACUCUUCGCUUUCUGCACAGGUGAUGUGAGUUCGUAUGUGGUGACUCAGCCGCCCUCUGCAUCCGUGGCUCUGGGACAAACAGCCACACUCACUUGCUCUGGUGACAACAUUGGUGGCAAAAGUGUGCAGUGGUAUCAGCAGAAUCCCGGCCGGGCCCCCGUGCUGGUUAUAUACAGCGAUAGCAACCGACCCUCUGGGAUCCCCGACCGGUUCUCCGGCUCUAACCCCAGGGGUUCAAGCAAAGCCACACUGACCAUUUCCAGAGCUCAGGCCGGCGAUGAGGCAGAUUAUUACUGUCAGGUUUGGGACAGCAGCAGCAGUGCUCAGCACAGUGACACAAGGGGAUAG